AUUAGCUCAUUAUCCGAUACGCCUCCUCUGAUUAGCUUAAUUCUCAUCCGACUUGAAGAAACCCUAAUUUUCUCCCAGCUAUCGUUCCCUCCGAAAUCCACCUUGUGCGAUCUCUGAUUCUCUCCUUUGGUUGGGUUCUACGUAAUCAGGGGUCUUUCUUCGCUGUUUGCAUUUCGCGCUCUUCUGUUCUCGUUCCUGUUCGAGUUGGUAAUUCCCAGCAGCAUUGUCCUCGGUUAUCCUCGUUUGGUUUCUGGGAUUAAAUUUGGGUCAUACAGGUCUAAGUAGGUUCUGUAGCAGUUUCGAUGUUGUCUCCAAUCUCUUUGCAUAUCGAUCCAGGGUUUGUCUGAUUUUUCCAAGUUGGCAGGUUCCUCUCCACAUUAGAAUUCUCAAUAAACCAUUAGGCUCUUAUUCCA